GACGAACCGUGCGAACGUUGUUCGGAAUCACUGGGCUUAAAGGGCGCGUAGGCGGGGAGGUAAGUCAGGGGUGAAAGCCCACGGCCCAACCGUGGAAGUGCCUUUGAUACUGCCUGUCUCGAGGGAGGUAGGGGCGUGCGGAACUUCCGGUGGAGCGGUGAAAUGCGUAGAUAUCGGAAGGAACACCGGUGGCGAAAGCGGCGUUCUGGACUGCAACUGACACUGAGGAACGAAAGCCAGGGGAGCAAACGGG
rnacentral:rRNA from 1 species